GACGAACGCUGGCGGCGUGCUUAACACAUGCCAGUCGAACGGAAAGGCCCUGCUUUUGUGGGGUGCUCGAGUGGCGAACGGGUGAGUAACACGUGAGUAACCUGCCCUUGACUUUGGGAUAACUUCAGGAAACUGGGGCUAAUACCGGGUAGGAGCUCCUGCUGCAUGGUGGGGGUUGGAAAGUUUCGGCGGUUGGGGAUGGACUCGCGGCUUAUCAGCCUGUUGGGGGGGUAGUGGCUUACCAAGGCUUUGACGGGUAGCCGGCCUGAGAGGGUGACCGGCCACAAUGGGACUGAGAUACGGCCCAGUCUCCUACGGGAGGCACCAGUGGGGAAUAUUGCACAAUGGGCGGAAGCCUGAUGCAGCAACGCCGCGUGCGGGAUGACGGCCUUCGGGUUGUAAACCGCUUUCGCCUGUGGCGAAGCGUGAUUGACGGUAAUGGGUAAAGAAGCACCGGCUAACUACGUG
rnacentral:rRNA from 1 species